AGAGUUUGAUCAUGGCUCAGGAUGAACGCUAGCGGCAGGCUUAAUACAUGCAAGUCGAGGGGCAGCAGGGGUGUAGCAAUACACUCGCUGGCGACCGGCAAACGGGUGCGGAACACGUACGCAACUUACCCAAAACUGGGGAAUAGCCCGGGGAAACCCGGAUUAAUACCCCGUAAGAUAAUGAGAAGGCAUCUUCUUAUUAUUAUAGAUUUUAUCGGUUUUGGAUGGGCGUGCGCCUGAUUAGGUAGUUGGCGGGGUAACGGCCCACCAAGCCUACGAUCAGUAACUGGUGUGAGAGCACGACCAGUCACACGGGCACUGAGACACGGGCCCGACUCCUACGGGAGGCAGCAGUAAGGAAUAUUGGUCAAUGGACGCAAGUCUGAACCAGCCAUGCCGCGUGGAGGAUGAAGGCCCUCUGGGUUGUAAACUUCUUUUAUAUGGGACGAAACCCCCGAAUUCUUUCGGGACUGACGGUACCAUAGGAAUAAGCACCGGCUAACUCCGUGCCAGCAGCCGCGGUAAUACGGAGGGUGCAAGCGUUAUCCGGAUUCACUGGGUUUAAAGGGUGCGUAGGAGGGCAGGUAAGUCAGUGGUGAAAUCCCCAAGCUUAACUUGGGAACUGCCGUUGAUACUAUCUGCCUUGAAUACCGUGGAGGUGAGCGGAAUAUGUCAUGUAGCGGUGAAUG
rnacentral:rRNA from 1 species